UGGACAGUGACCCCUGUAGCCACAGCUCUCUAUUGUUUCCAUGCCUGCUGGGUCCCACUGGUUGGCUGGAAGAGGUAAAUGGAUCCACAUGACCAGAAACACAUGAUCUCUCCCAGACUACCAAAAAUAAUCAGAAACCCUGGAAAAAUGCUGCAGAACUCUCCCAUCGGACAGCAUGGGUCAUGAGACCUCAUUGAGCUAGGAAAGGACAAGUGUCACAGCAACAUACAAUGCAUCCCCCACAAAGGAAAAACCAUGGCUUACUACAAAAUGCAGAACCGUAGCUUUCAGUCAUCCUCCUCAAUGUGGUACAUCAGUGAUCUCACCACAGUGCAGGAAGUUAUGGCAGCACAUUCUGAAGAAAUGGA